GGGCCUGUAGCUUAGUUUGGUUUGAGCCCCCGGCUCAUAACCGGGUGGUCGUCGGUUCAAAUCCGGCCGGGCCCA
rnacentral:tRNA from 3 species